AAGCCAUCCGCUUGAAUAUCACAUCCCCUUCCACUCGUAGGUCAGGCAACAUGUCUUGAUUCUUGCCGAUUUCUUCUUUCAGCUCCUGAUAUUCUGAAGACUCAAACUCUGUCGUCUGGAAUCCGAGGAUCUCCGUUGGAUCUAUCACCACUUCGUCGAUGCAGCGUGAGAGUGUAUCCGCCACGACGUUGUCGACUCCUUUCCGGUGUUCGAUCCCAAAGUCAAACCUCUGCAGUCGCAAUGCCCACCUCGCAAGACGUCCGUUUAGAUCCUUCAAUGACAUGAGCCAUUUCAGGCUGGCGUGAUCCGUAAUAACCGUGAAGGGCAUCGAUUCAACGUACGGUCUGAAUUUUUCAAUGGCCAACACCGCAGCUAAACACUCUUUUUCCGUUACAGAAUAAUUUAGCUGAUGCUUGUUUAACUUGGCGGAGAAGAAUGCCACCGGACGCUCGGCUCCUUCGACGUCCAACUGAAACAACACCGCUCCCACUCCGUAAUUCGAUGCAUCGCACUGUACAUAGAAAGGCUUCUUGAAAUCAGCAUGACUUAAUACCGGAGCCGUGGUGAGUGCCUUCUUCAGGAAUCCUAUCGCCGUCUCGGCCUCCGUGGACAGGGAAAACUUUCCACGCGGAUGCUUCUUCAGCGCGUCUGUUAGCGGCACAGCAAUGGAAGCGUAAUCCUUGAUGAAGCGCCUAUACCAUCCUGCGGUUCCUAGGAAGCUUCUUAGUUCCUUCACUGAACUCGGAUUGGGAAUCCUUUGAAUGGC
rnacentral:lncRNA from 1 species